rnacentral:rRNA from 1 species
UGAGGAAUCUUGGUCAAUGGGCGAAAGCCUGAACCAGCGAUGCCGCGUGAGUGAUGAAGGCCUUCGGGUUGUAAAGCUCUGUGGGGAGAGACGAAAAAGCCAAGUCGAAUAGGCUUGGAAAUUGACGGUACCUCCUUAGCAAGCACCGGCUAACUCUGUGCCAGCAGCCGCGGUAACACAGAGGGUGCGAACGUUGCUCGGAAUCACUGGGCGUAAAGCGCGUGUAGGCGGACAGGCAAGUCAGGAGUGAAAUCCCCGGGCUCAACCCGGGAACUGCUUUUGAAACUGCUUGUCUAGAGUAGUGGAGAGGGAAGUGGAAUUCCUGGUGUAGAGGUGAAAUUCGUAGAUAUCAGGAGGAACACCGGUGGCGAAGGCGGCUUCCUGGACACUAACUGACGCUGAGACGCGAAAGCGUGGGGAGCAAACAGGAUUAGAUACCCCCGUAGUCC